AACGAACGCUGGCGGCAUGCCUAACACAUGCAAGUCGAACGAAGGCUUCGGCCUUAGUGGCGCACGGGUGCGUAACGCGUGGGAAUCUACCCUUGGGUUCGGAAUAACAGUUAGAAAUGACUGCUAAUACCGGAUGAUGACGCAAGUCCAAAGAUUUAUCGCCCAAGGAUGAGCCCGCGUAAGAUUAGCUUGUUGGUGGGGUAAUGGCCUACCAAGGCGACGAUCUUUAGCUGGUCUGAGAGGAUGAUCAGCCACACUGGGACUGAGACACGACCCAGACUCCUACGGGAGGCAGCAGUGGGGAAUAUUGGACAAUGGGCGAAAGCCUGAUCCAGCAAUGCCGCGUGAGUGAUGAAGGCCUUAGGGUUGUAAAGCUCUUUUACCAGGGAUGAUAAUGACAGUACCUGGAGAAUAAGCUCCGGCUAACUCCGUGCCAGCCGCCGCGGUAA
rnacentral:rRNA from 1 species